rnacentral:rRNA from 1 species
GUGUGAUUGCAGAUUCCGUGAAUCAUCGAGUCUUUGAACGCACAUUGCGCCCCCUGGUAUUCCGGGGGGCAUGCCUGUCCGAGCGUCAUUGCUGCCCAUCAAGCACGGCUUGUGUGUUGGGUCGUCGUCCCCUCUCCGGGGGGGACGGGCCCCAAAGGCAGCGGCGGCACCGCGUCCGAUCCUCGAGCGUAUGGGGCUUUGUCACCCGCUCUGUAGGCCCGGCCGGCGCUUGCCGAACGCAAAUCAAUCUUUUCCAGGUUGACCUCGGAUCAGGUAGGGAUACCCGCUGAACUUAAGCAUAUCAAUAAGCGGAGGAU